GAAGGUGGCUGGGCGACCGCUCCUCACUCGUUGGGGGGAGGAAAGUCCGGGCACCACAGGGCAGGGUGGUGGGUAACUCCCACCGUCCGCAAGGAUAGGGAAAGUGCCACAGAAAACAGACCGCCGACGGCCUCCGGGCCUCGGUAAGGGUGAAACGGUGAGGUAAGAGCUCACCGCGGGGUCGGAGACGACCCUGGCAGGGCAAACCCCACCCGGUGAAAGGCCAGAAUAGGAGGGUCCGCAUGGCCCGUGCAUGGCCCUCGGGUAGGCCGUUCGAGGCUCGCAGCGAUGCGAGUCCCAGAGAAAUGGUCGCCACCGCGGUUUCCGCGGCACCAGGACCCGGCUUACGGCCACCUUCCGAU
rnacentral:RNase_P_RNA from 1 species